ensembl:lncRNA
GUUUUCCUUUUUUGAUGUGGACCACUUUUAAAGUCUUUAUUGAAUUUGUGACAACAUUGCUCCCGUUUCAUGUUUUGUUUUUUUGGCCACGGGGCAUGUGGGAUCUUAGCUCCUGGACAAGGGAUCAAACUCGCACCCCCUGCAUUGGAUGGUGAAGCCUUAACCACUGUACCAUCAGGGAAGUCCCAGUGUUUAUGAUUCUUGUGUGGCAAAGUUCUCCAUACUGUAUAUUUGAAGGGAAUGGAAACUUCAGUAUUGGUCCAUCCGCAUCAUUGCAUCAUCCUGGAAAUCUGAGUACCACCCACUGGGAUGCAUCCAGCUUAUCGUAGGAGAUCCUAGUAAGGAACACAGAACUAAGAAGCCACCACCAACUGGAAGAGUUCAGGAAAGGAAGGACCCUGAGUCAGAAUGAUCGGCCAGAGACCACCCAGAAACUAACCCCAUC